rnacentral:rRNA from 1 species
GGGUGCGAUCAUACCAGCACUAAAACAUCGAAUUCC